rnacentral:rRNA from 1 species
GAUGAACGCUGGCGGCGUGCCUAAUACAUGCAAGUCGAGCGAAUGGAUUAAGAGCUUGCUCUUAUGAAGUUAGCGGCGGACGGGUGAGUAACACGUGGGUAACCUGCCCAUAAGACUGGGAUAACUCCGGGAAACCGGGGCUAAUACCGGAUAACAUUUUGAACCGCAUGGCUCGAAAUUGAAAGGCGGCUUCGGCUGGCACUUAUGGAUGGACCCGCGUCGAAUUAGCUAGUUGGUGAGGUAACGGCUCACCAAGGCAACGAUGCGUAGCCGACGUGAGAGGGUGAUCGGCCACACUGGGACUGAGACACGGCCCAGACUCCUACGGGAGGCAGCAGUAGGGAAUCUUCCGCAAUGGACGAAAGUCUGACGGAGCAACGCCGCGUGAGUGAUGAAGGCUUUCGGGUCGUAAAACUCUGUUGUUAGGGAAGAACAAGUGCUAGUUGAAUAAGCUGGCACCUUGACGGUACCUAACCAGAAAGCCACGGCUAACUACGUGCCAGCCGCCGCCGUAA